AUUGAACGCUGGCGGCAUGCCUUACACAUGCAAGUCGAACGGUAACAGGUCUUCGGAUGCUGACGAGUGGCGAACGGGUGAGUAAUACAUCGGAACGUGCCUAGUAGUGGGGGAUAACUACUCGAAAGAGUGGCUAAUACCGCAUGAGAUCUACGGAUGAAAGCAGGGGAUCGCAAGACCUUGUGCUACUAGAGCGGCCGAUGGCAGAUUAGGUAGUUGGUGGGAAAAAAGCUUACCAAGCCGACGAUCUGUAGCUGGUCUGAGAGGACGAUCAGCCACACUGGGACUGAGACACGGCCCAGACUACUACGGGAGGCAGCAGUGGGGAAUUUUGGACAAUGGGCGAAAGCCUGAUCCAGCAAUGCCGCGUGCAGGAUGAAGGCCUUCGGGUUGUAAACUGCUUUUGUACGGAACGAAAAGCUCUGGGUUAAUACCCUGGGGUCAUGACGGUACGGUAAGAAUAAGCACCGGCUAACUACGUGCCAGCCGCCGCAGUAAAAC
rnacentral:rRNA from 1 species